GCGUCCUGCUCGUGAUCGUCUUCUCACCCUUCACGUGGCAGGCGGCAGGACGGAAGGCCCCCGCGAGGACGUGACUCGCGGGGGCCUUCC
rnacentral:ncRNA from 1 species